GCUGAUGUUCCCUCUUUACUACGUGUAAACAAGGCUGAGCAGGUUGCCGGGGCAACACACGUUCUCCGAGGUGCCAUCCCGGCCCCGGCGCUGGAGGCUGAGUCAGGUCUGACGGAGGAGAACGUCUUUGUUCCACCGCCUCAGUGUUCGGCUGGAAAAAUGUCAGCAAAGAGAAUUCACGGCGGGCGUCGAGCUGCCUCGUUACACCGCCAAAGAAACGUCACAUUUCACCGUCUUUGUCUUGACCUCUCUGAGCAGAUAAACGGCCGCUGUCAGCUCCGAGGCUUCACACCUUCAUUUACCCCCAUGGACACCAAGAAGAAUGCUUAAAACACAAUGAAACACCAAUUUAAGCUGUUAGCUGAAGCACGUGCACAAUAUGAGACUGCUGCUGAGAAGAAGAGACCAAGCAGCAGCUUCACCAUGGAAGAUUCUCCAAGACUAAAGAAGAAGCGUUCCAUGUUCAUGGCUGUGGAGCUUGAACUUGACCUCCAGGGUUGGAUUGUCAAUGUAGAGUUCUGUUGAAGAAGUAGAACAUUCAUCCAUCCAUCCAUCCAUUUUCUUCCGUUUAUCCGGGGCCGGGUCGCGGAGGCAGCAGGCGAAGCAGGUCGUUCCAGACGUCCCUCCCCCCAGCAACGCUUUCCAGCGCUUCCUGGAGGAUCCCGAGGCGUUCCCAGGUCGGACGAGAUAUAUAACCCCUCCAGCGGGUUCUGGGUGUACCGCGGGGUCUCCUCCCAGACGGACGUGCUCGGAAAACCUCCAAAGGAAGUCUCCCUGGAAGCAUCCAAAUCAGAUUACCAAACCACCUCAACUGGCUCCUUUCGAUGCGAAGGAGCAGCGGCUCUACUCCGAGCUCCCUCCGGAUGUCUGAGCUCCUCAAGCCUAUCUCUAAGGCUGAAUCCAGCCACCCUACGGAGGAAGCUCAUUUCGGCCGCUUGUAUCUGCGAUCUUUUUCUUUCGGUCACUACCCAAAGCUCAUGACCAUAGGUGAGGGUUGGAACGUAGAUGGACUGGUAAAUCGAGAGCUUCACUUUACGGCUCAGCUCCUUCUUCACCAUGACGGUUCGGUACAACGCCCGCAUUACUGCGGACGUCGCACCAAUUUGCCUGUCCAUCUCUCGCUCCAUUAUGGAGUGAGAGUAGAACAUUCAGACAACCUGAACUCUGGCGUUAUGGUGUAUUGGCCCAACAAUACAAAUUUAUUGGCCACAGCAACACAAUCGUCGCUCUCAAACCACUGUUCUCACCUGAUUUGACGGUUUGAUUAAACGUUGUUCAGGAGUGUCCAGAUGUGGUGAGUCGAGCUGGAUGCUCAGUUACCAGAAUACACUGUACAGCUGCUUGCAUAGACCAUAAAUGUUAAGUGAGUGAAAGACAGAUUCUGUGGAUACAUACCACUUCAGAACAGGACUUCAUGGGAUCCUUACAGUCAUUUAUGUUCUCGGAGAAUGAGAUUCUUCCACUAUGAAAGUUGGUUCUUCUGUUAAUGGUAGCUGUAGACCCACUUCCAUUACUGCUGAUGAUCCUUGACAUGAAGUUUGGGUCAGAAUUUGAUCUUUGCUCCCUGAAAUCAUGAAUAUACAUCUGUAUGUGAUCAGAACGGGACUUCCAGCGAGAUUACUUCAACUCACAUGGUGGCCAAACCUAAACCAGAUCCAGUUUUUGGUUUUUAUAGACGCAGAUUCAGAACUAGAACUAGAACGGAACUGUGGACCGUCAUUCCUGUUGCAUCAGUAACAUCAGUGUAACCGUCUCAUUGUUUAGUUCUAUUAUUUGCAGUCUGAUAUUAAGUAAAAAUGUCAGUUUUUUUGCCACAAUUUUUCAGAUCUCGCUUUAACCUGAUUAUGCAGAUACACAGAGCCUUUUUGUGUUUUUCAAUUCUGCCUUGUGUCUUUGAUCAGCGUGGUUCAUUUUGUCUUCGCAGACUUUAAAUUAGGAUGUUUUUCAGGAGUUAAUUAAAAAAUAAAGACGCCUGAAGCUUCAGGAGUUUGAACAGAAAAGGAGAAUAAUCUUUUCCAGGCUCAGUUCAAACCCUGCAGCAAAGGCUCUUCUGGGUUUCUUCGACAUCCUCCACAUUAAAAUGAGCUUUCAGUGAAGAAACAAGCCUGAUUUCUACUUUUUUUUUUUUUUUGAAAAUCUGACUUAAAAAUACAAACUGUUUGUAAAAAAAACUGAUGCUCGAGCAGUGAAGUGUAUGUUGGAUGAUGGUUUUCAAAGAAUCCUUUUGUACAAAAUCUGAAAAAUACAAAGCAAAAUGAGGCAUGUGGACGUCACUGUGGUUACCAGAAAGCUUCCAUCUCUUUUAAUACUCCAGAGCACAUUUGUAGUUGUGGAUACGGUGUUUGAAGGACCUCCUUUUAUAUAAACUCACGAGGUGAAUCAUCGACAUCAUCAAGGUGUUUGUCUCAUGUUCAGCAUUUGAUUUUUUUCUCAGUUUCCUCGAGGCCAAGAAAUAUUUCUCUGGAGGUGUGAGCGUGAAUCAUCGGGCCGCAAUUACCAUUUUACACAACAAGACGAGUUAACUGACGGCUCGAUGCAGGAGUUUGAGGAUCGGACGGGUCUCGGUAAGCGAGAGUAAACAGUGAGCGAAGUGAAGCGAAGCAGCAGGUUUACAGCCAAGUAUGAGCAAGAAAUGACAUUUAAAUUGGACCGUUAAUGUCGAGUAAAAAAAGCGGCAAAACAAGAAGCAACAAGUCCAAACAGUAAAGGUGUGGAAACCAACACGAAGAGGCUCGAUUCAGACCAUUUUUGUGAUGUUUUCAUGCUUUUUGAUAAUUUUGUGCAGUCAAACUCCCUCUAAAUCUUCCAAUCACUCAUUAAAAUCCAUUUUUUAACUCUUGCUUUAAUACAUCAUUUAUUUUGAUGGUUUCAUUCAAUUUUCAAUUAUUUGUUUGUUUUAUUCUUUUUUUGCACUUCAUUUUUGUCACUAAUGCUAUUAUUUUUAGCCUUGUGUUUAAGGUUUUCUGUUCUCUUCUAUUCCACUUGUUCUUUGUGCUUUAUUGGUUUUGGCAUUUUUGGUUCUUUAUUUAUUUCAUCUGCUGUUGUAUUUAUCCAUCCAUCCAUUCUCCAUACACCACUUUAUCCUUAUUUCUUUUGUAAAUCUUGUACCAGUUGUUUUGUGGUUUUCCUGAGUUUCCUAUUUUUCUUUUUUGUCCUGUUUGUAAAGUACUUUGUUCACUCGGGUGUAAAUUAAAGCUAUUAUUAUUAUUAUUAUUAUUCUCCCAGUUGCCUUUUUCCUCUCAGUACUUUAGAAUUCCAACAGUUUCUUGUUAUUUUGCAGAUUAUUUGACGCCUGACUCCUGUUGUUGCUCGUAAGCUUUAUGCGUGUUUUUUUUUUUUUUACUCUUUUCAGUGUCUAGUUUUUGAUUUUCUGCCUACUUCCUGUCUGUGUGCUUUGUUGAUUAACUGCUGAACCCCAAAGCCUGCUGGCAGAUUAAAAAAUUUAAAAAAUCAA